UAUCUGUCUUUGAAUGGGGGAAGGUCCUCAGUGCAACACUACACAAAAAAAUCAUCAGUCAUUAAAGUAUUUUUUUCAUGAAUGUUGAAUAAAAGUAGAUUGAGUAAUGACAGUGUUUAUUUCUCUACAAGUAACUCCACCACAGAGACGUCAUUAUGGCCUGUACAAUCAGGGAGCCACAUGUUACCUCAACAGUGUCCUGCAGGUUCUCUUCAUGACAACUGAGAUCCACAACAGGUUUGAAACAGCUGUUUUUAUCUGUACAAGUACAAGGAGAUCAAUUAAAAUGAUGAGAAACUUUAUGUAAAUGUUAACAUGUUCACUGAGAAGCUGCUGUCUUCCUAAAGGUUGAAUCAACAACCAGAUCAAGAGCUGAGACAAAUCUUUAUGGACCUGAAGAGAAAAACAUGUGGAACAGAAAACAUCACAAAGAGUUUGAAGAUUGAAAAUGUUUAUGAACAACGUGAUGCAGCUGAAUGUCUGAAGAUGAUUUUAGGUCAGGUCAGCCGACAGGCAGCAGAGGUGAGCACUCAAAAAUAUCUACUAUGUUAUUGUGAAGAGGCAAAUGAGAAUGAUGUGUGACAAUUGGCAUUUUUAUUUGAAGGUCUUCAAGGGAGAGAUGACUCACGUAACAAAAUGCUUAGAAGGCCACAUAAAUGAAAGAACAAAACCAUUCUGGACUCUCACUCUGUCACUCAAAGAUACUCCUGACACAACCUUCAGUGUGCAAAACAGCUUUGAAAGGAUGUUCAAAAUGAAAACAUACACAGGAGAUAACAUGGUGUACUGCAAUGAAUGUAACAAGAAAACAGAAGCAACAAGUAUAUGUGAGAUGGUGGAAGCUCCUCAGAUCUUGAUUCUUCUCCUCAAGAGAUUUGACUUUGACUACAACACCAGGUCACAUUUCAAAUUAGACUGCUGUGUGGAAGUGCCAUGUGAAUUACAGUUGAAGGCAAGGGAAAGAUAUUCUUAUCUGUAAUUUUCAUUUGAAUGGUCUUAGUUGCUUUUAAAAUAAUUCCAUGCACCUGACUGUGUUGUUCAUUGUAGAACAAGACAUACAAACUGUAUGGGAUGGUGAAUCACAUGGGCAGUCUAAGAGGUGGACAUUACACAGCCACCGUCCUCUCUGAGGACAACACCUGGUAUGAGUGUGACGAUUCUCAUGUCAGCGAGGUGAGGAAGAUUUAACUUAAUCUGUUCCAUUAAGACGUCGCACAUUUAAA
rnacentral:lncRNA from 1 species